GGGCCCGCACAAGCGGUGGAGUAUGUGGUUUAAUUCGAUGCAACGCGAAGAACCUUACCUAGGCUUGACAUGCUUGUUGUACUCUCCCGAAAAGGAGAGGUCACUUCGGGUGGACAAUGCACAGGUGCUGCAUGGCCGUCGUCAGCUCGUGUCGUGAGAUGUUUGGUUAAGUCCAGCAACGAGCGCAACCCCUGUGAACUGUUGCCAGCGCGUAAAGGCGGGGACUCUGUUCAGACUGCCCAGAUCAACUGGGAGGAAGGUGGGGACGACGUCAGGUCAGUAUGGCCCUUACGCCUAGGGCUGCACACGUACUACAAUGCCCAGCACAAUGAGAACCGAGACCGCAAGGUGGAGGAAAUCUGCAAAACUGGGCCCAGUUCGGAUUGGAGGCUGCAACUCGCCUCCAUGAAGUCGGAAUCGCUAGUAAUGGCACAUC
rnacentral:rRNA from 1 species